UGAUGGCGACCGGCGGCACGGGUCGAGUAACGCGUAUCCAACCUUCCCUACUACUAGGGGAGUAGCCCGGCGAAGUACGGAUUAAUACUCUAUGUUCUUCGUAGAAGACAUCUGAAAUGAAGCAAAGGUUUACCGGUAUAGGAUGGGGAUGCGUCUGAUUAGGUUGUUGGCGGGGUAACGGCCCACCAAGCCCACGAUCAGUAGGGGUUCUGAGAGGAAGGUCCCCCACAUUGGAACUGAGACACGGUCCAAACUCCUACGGGAGGCAGCAGUGAGGAAUAUUGGUCAAUGGACGAGAGUCUGAACCAGCCAAGUAGCGUGCAGGAUGACGGCCCUAUGGGUUGUAAACUGCUUUUAUACAGGGAUAAAGUUCACUACGUGUAGUGUUUUGUAGGUACUGUAUGAAUAAGGACCGGCUAAUUCCGUGCCAGCCGCCGC
rnacentral:rRNA from 1 species